rnacentral:rRNA from 1 species
AUUGAACGCUGGCGGCAGGACUAACACAUGCAAGUCGAGAGGAGCUGCGGCCGGUUGAGUAAUUACUAGGAAUCUGCCUGGUAGUGGGGGAGCAAGUCCGGCAACGAGCGCUAAUACCGCCGACUAACAGAUGAGCCUAGGGCGGAUUAGCUAGUGGGGGGGGAAAAGGCCUACAAAGGCGAAGAUCCGUAACUGGUCUGAGAGGAUGAUCAGUCACACUGGGACUGAGACACGGUCCAGACGCCUACGGGAGGCAGCAGUGGGGAAUAUUGGACAAUGGGCGAAAGCCUGAUCCAGCCAGGCCGCGUGUGUGAAGAAGGUCUUCGGAUUGUAAAGCACUUUAAGUUGGGAGGCGUUACCAACAGAAUAAGCACCGGCUAACUUCGUGCCAGCAGCCGCGGUAAUUC